GAUGAACGCUAGCUACAGGCUUAAUACAUGCAAGUCGCGGGGCAGCAUGGGGGUUGCUUGCAAUCCACGAUGGCGACGGGCGCACGGGUGAGUAACGCGUAACCAACCUGCCCUUCACCAAGGGAUAACCCGGAGAAAGUCGGACUAAUACUGAAAGUUGUCCAUUGACGGCAUACGAGUGGGAGGAGAGGUUGGGGGGAGAAGGAUGGGGAUGCGUGCGAUUUGCUGGACGGGGGCGUGACGGCCCACCGCGGGGACGCGCGGUAGGGGUGAGGAGAGGAAGGUCCCCCACACUGGAACUGAGACACGGUCCACACUCCUACGGGAGGCAGCAGUGAGUUAUAUUGGUCAAUGGGCGUAAGCCUGAACCAGCCAAGUGGCGUGCAGGAUGACGGCCCUAUGGGUUGUAAACUGCUUUUAUGCGGGGAUAAAGUGGCCCACGUGUGGGUUUUUGCAGGUACCGCAUGAAUAAGGCCCGGCUAAUUCCGUG
rnacentral:rRNA from 1 species